rnacentral:rRNA from 1 species
AAUAAAUAUCUUAGUCUAAAUUACUAUAUAAAAAUUAAUAACUUAAAACAUUUUUAAAUUUAGUAAAAGUGAUAGAAAAUUAUUAAAUAAGACCUAAAAAAAGUACCGUGAGGGAAAAAUUAAUAAAUUAAAUAACAGAAAAAUUUAAUAUUUGUACCUUUUGCAUCAUGGUUUAGCUAGAUAUAUGUUUAUUCUUAAAUUUCUCGAAAUCUAAUGAGUUAUUUUUAUUCAGUAUAUUAGUAUAAAAGAGUAGUUGUAGCAAAAACUUUCUUAGAAAUAAAAAUGGAAAUGAAAUUUUAUUCGUAUUAGAUGAUAGCUAGUUUUUCUAUAAAAGCAUAUAAGUGCUUUAAAUUAAUUUUUAAUUUUUAUUAGUUUUUAUAUAAAAAGAAUUUAAUUUAGGUAAAUUUUUGAGGAUAAGCUCGAAAAUUAAAAUUAUAUUUGCAUUAUAUUUUUAUUGAAAUUUAGGCUUGAAAAUAGCCACAAUUUUGAAUUUGUUAUAAUUCAUUAAUCAAUUAAAAAGAUAAUUAAUUUGCUUAUAAUUAUAGAAAAGAAUUUAAUAACUAAAUUAAAUUGUAUAAAUGCUAAAAUGAGUAUUAUAAUAUUCUAUAUUCUUAACAACUUUUAUUAGUUAAGAUUUGUAAUUAUUUUUUAAGUAAAAAUUAUAAAAAGGAACUCGGCAAAUACUCAUUCUGCCUGUUUAGCAAAAACAUGGCUCCUUGAAUUUUAGCCAUAAGGAGUCGGACCUGCCCAGUGAAUUUUUCAACGGCCGCGGUACUCUGACCGUGCAAAGGUAGCAUAAUCAUUUGCCUUAUAAUUGAAGGCUAGUAUGAAUGGUUUGACAAGAAUGAAGCUGUCUCUUUAUAAUUUAAUAGAAUUUUAUUUUCAGGUGAAGAAGCCUGAAUAAAAUUAAAAGACAAGAAGACCCUAUCGAGCUUAAAAAAAGUUAAUAGAAUUAAUUAUUAAUAUUUAUAAAAAAUUAUCUAUUAAAUAUUUUAGUUGGGGCGACUGAGGAACAUAAAAAGCUUCCUUUAUCUAAAGCUAAAAAUCAUACUAGAAUUGAUCCAAAAUUUUUUGAUUAAAGGAAUUAGUUACCGUAGGGAUAACAGCAUUAUCUUUUUUAAGAGCUCAUAUCGAAAAAAAGGUUUGUGACCUCGAUGUUGGACCAGAAUAUCCUAAAGGUGCAGCAGUCUUUAAGGGUUGGUCUGUUCGACCAUUAAAAUUCUACGUGAUCUGAGUUCAGACCGGCGUGAGCCAGGUCAGUUUCUAUCUUUAAUUGUUUUAAUAAAUUUAGUACGAAAGGACCAAUUUAUUGUAAAUCCAUGCUUUAUAUUGAUUAAAUCUAAUUAAAAAUUAAGUAAAUCAAAUUAGCAAAAUUAAUGCAAUUGACUUAGGAUCAAUAGAUAUAGGUGAAAUUCCUUUAUUUGAUAAAAUAUAAAGAUGGCAGAUGAA